GACGUAGAGGGCCAGCGUUGUUCGGAAUUACUGGGUGUAAAGGGUUCGUAGGCGGUGCGGCAAGUUGGGAGUGAAAUCUCUGGGCUUAACCCAGAGGCUGCUUCCAAAACUGCUGUGCUUGAGUGUGGGAGAGGCGCGUGGAAUUGCAGGUGUAGCGGUGAAAUGCGUAGAUAUCUGCAGGAACACCCGUGGCGAAAGCGGCGCGCUGGACCACUACUGACGCUGAGGAACGAAAGCUAGGGGAGCAAACAGG
rnacentral:rRNA from 1 species